GGGGGGGGGGGGUCCCCGUGCGUGUCUGCUGGUGGAGGUGCAGCCGUGUUGCCGCCGUCCCCAGGCACGCGGAUGGGCACCUCCCCGAGUGAUGCCGUGGCAGCGGAGCGGGCUGUGCACCUGUGUACCUCUGCGCUUGUGUACCUGUGCGCCUGUGCCUGUGUACCUGUGCCUGUGCACCUGUGCCUGUGCGCCCGUGCACCUGUGCCCGUGCGCCUGUGCCUGUGCGCCUGUGUGCCUGUGUACCUCUGCCUGUGCGCCUGUGUACCUCUGCCUCUGUGCCUGUGUGCCUGUGUGCCUGUGUGCCUGUGUGCCUGUGUGCCUGUGCGCCUGUGCGCCUGUGUGCCUGUCCUAUGUGCCUGUGCGCCUGUAUGCCUGUGCCUGUGCACCUGUGCGCCUGUCCUGUGUGCCUGUGCGCCUGUAUGCCUGUGCGCCUUUGUGCCUGUGCCUGUGUGCCUGUCCUGUGUGCCUGUGCGCUGUAUGCUGUGUGCCUGUCCUGUGUGCCUGUGUGCUGUAUGCCUGUGCCUGUGCACCUGUGUGCCUGUGCGCUGGUGCACCUGUGUGCCUGUGUGCCUGACCUGUGUGCAUGUGUGCCUGGUUGCUUGUGCCUGUGCGCCUGUGUGCCUGUGUGCCUGUCCUGUGUGCCUGGAUGCCUGUGCCUGUGUGCCUGUGUGCCUGUGCCUGUGCGCCUGUGUGCCUGUGCAUGUGUAGCUGUGUGCUUGUGUGCAUGUGUACCUGUGCACCUGUGUGCCUGUGUGCCUGGAUGCCUGUGUACCUGUGCCUGUGUGCCUGUGUACCUGUGCGCCUGGAUGCCUGUGCCUGUGCGCCUGUGUACCUGUGCGCCUGGAUGCCUGCGCCUGUGCGCCUUUGUGCCUGUGCGCCUGUGUGCCUGGAUGCCUGUGCCUGUGCACCUGGGUGCCUGUGCCUGUGCGCCUGUGUGCCUGUGCGCCUAUAUACCUGUGCCUGUGUGCCUGUGCGCCUUUGUGCCUGGAUGCCUGUGCCUGUGCGCCUGUGCCUGUUCGCCUGUGUACGUGUGCCUGUGUGCCUGUGCGCCUGUGCGCCUGUGUGCCUGGAUGCCUGUGUGCCUGUUUACCUGUGCGCCUGGAUGCCUGUGCCUGUGUGCAUGUGCGCCUGUGCGCCUGUGCGCCUCUGUACCUGUGCCUGUGUGCCUGUGCGCCUGUGUACCUGUGCCUGUGCGCCUAUGUGCCUGUGCGCCUGUGCGCCUGUAUGCCUGUGCUUGUGCGCCUGUCCUGUGUGCCUGUGUACCUGUGCCUGUGCGCCUGUGUGCCUGUGUACCUGUGUGCCUGGAUGCAUGUGCCUGUGUGCCUGUGUGCCUCUCCUGUAUGCCUGUGAGCCUGUGUGCCUGUGUGCCUGUGUACAUGUGGCCUGGAUGCCUGUGCCUGUGUGCCUGUGCGCCUGGAUGCUUGUGUGCCUGUCCUGUGUGCCUGUGCGGCUGUGUGCCUGUGCCUGUGCGGCUGUGUGCCUGUCCUGUGUGCCUGUGCACCUGUGUGCCUGUCCUGUGUGCCUGUGCGCCUCUGUACCUGUGCUUGUGUGCCUGUGCGCCUGUGUGCCAGGAUGCCUGUGCCUGUGUGCCUGUGUGCCUGUGACUGUGCGCCUGUGCCUGUGCGCCUGUGUGCCUGUGCGCCUGUGUACCUGUGCCUGUGUGUGUGCCUGUGCGUCAGUGUACCUGUGCGCCUGGAUGCCUGUGCCUGUGUGCCUGUGUGCCUGUGUGCCUGUCCUGUGUGCCUGUGCGCCUGUAUGCAUGUGCCUGGCCUGUGUGCCUGUGUGCCUGUGUGCCUGUGCGCUUGUGCCUGUGCACCUUUGUGCCUGUGCCUGUGCGCCUGUGUGCCUGGAUGCCUGUGCCUUUGCGCCUGUGCGCCUUUGUGCCUGUGCCUGUGUGCCUGUGCGCCUGUGUACCUGUGCCUGUGUGCCUGUGCGCCUGGAUGCCUGUGCCUUUGCGCCUGUGCCUGUGCGCCUGUGUGCCUGUGCGCCUAUGUACCUGUGCCUGUGCGCCUGUGUGCCUGUGCGCCUGUGUGCCUGUCCUGCGUGCCUGUGUGCCUGGAUGCCUGUGCCUGUGCACCUGUGCGCUUGUGUACCUGUGCGCUUGGAUGCCUGUGCACCUGUGUGCCUGUGCCUCUGCGCCUGUGCGCCUGUGCUUGUGCGCCUUUGUGCCUUUGUGCCUGUGUGCCUGUGCGCCUUUGUGCCUGUGUGCCUGUGCCUGUGUGCCUGUGUACCUGUGCCUGUGCGCCUGUGUAGCUGUGCCUGUGCACCUGUGUGCCUGUGCACCUGUGUGCCUGGAUGCCUGUGCCUGCAUGCCUGUGUGCCUGUGCCUGUGCACCCGUGCGCCUUUGUACCUGUGCCCCUGUGUACCUGUGCCUGUGCGCCUGUGCGCCUGUGUACCUGUGCCUGUGCGCCUGUGUGCCUGUGUACUGGUGCCUCUGUGCCUGUGUGCCUGUGCGCCUGUGUGCCCACACCGGCAGAACGUUCUUCCUUCGGUUCAGCCCGCCAGAAGCCGCCGUCCUCUCUACACCCCUCCCCCCGCCCAAAAGGAAAACGUUGGGAUCAGAUGGGCCCAGGUUACCUGCCAGAGCGACACAGGCACCGUCCGGUUACUGGGGCUGCGUUACUGCGCGUGAAGCCUUGGGGGCCACGGGCGAUCUUUGUCUACAAGGUCUUUCUGUCCGUGUCAUUGACCCGUUUACCGUCAGGCCCCUGGAGCCACCAACCUCCCCUCCAAGGCGAAAGCUACAGACCAGAAGCAGAAAGAGGCAUGUACCCCGGCAGAAAUCCUGGGAAAAGAGGCUGGAGAGAUAUCUGACUCUUUAGGAUUGGGUCUGCUGCUCUAUUCUUAUGGAAAUGACUGAGGUUCUUCUCUCAGGAAGGGUCUGAUGGCAUCAUCUUCUGACUCACCCUGCCACAACUUUGCUCUAUCAAUUUUCUCUCUUUCCAACGCCUUCAGUCUCUCCCUAAGCAUUUCAAAACUCUGCAUCACGGAGGAG
rnacentral:lncRNA from 1 species